rnacentral:rRNA from 1 species
AGCGAACGCUGGCGGCAGGCCUAACACAUGCAAGUCGAACGAACUCUUCGGAGUUAGUGGCGGACGGGUGAGUAACACGUGGGAACGUGCCUUUUGGUUCGGAAUAACUCAGGGAAACUUGUGCUAAUACCGAAUGUGCCCUUCGGGGGAAAGAUUUAUCGCCAUUAGAGCGGCCCGCGUCUGAUUAGCUAGUUGGUGAGGUAACGGCUCACCAAGGCGACGAUCAGUAGCUGGUCUGAGAGGAUGACCAGCCACACUGGGACUGAGACACGGCCCAGGCUCCUACGGGAAGCAGCAGUGGGGAAUCUUGCGCAAUGGGCGAAAGCCUGACGCAGCCAUGCCGCGUGAAUGAUGAAGGUCUUAGGAUUGUAAAAUUCUUUCACCGGGGACGAUAAUGACGGUACCCGGAGAAGAAGCCCCGGCUAACUUCGUG